rnacentral:rRNA from 1 species
CCUACGAGUGGCAGCAGUGAGGAAUAUUGGUCAAUGGACGGAAGUCUGAACCAGCCAUGCCGCGUGCAGGAAGACGGCUCUAUGAGUUGUAAACUGCUUUUGUACAAGGGUAAACCUGAAUACGUGUAUUUAGCUGAAAGUACUUUACGAAUAAGCAUCGGCUAACUCCGUGCCAGCAGCCGCGGUAAUACGGAGGAUUCAAGCGUUAUCCGGAUUUAUUGGGUUUAAUGGGUGCGUAGGCGGAUUGAUAAGUUAGAGGUGAAAUGUCCGAGCUUAACUCGGGAACUGCCUCUAAUCCUGUUGAUCUAGAGAGUAGGUGAGGUAGGCGGAAUGUAUGGUGUAGCGGUGAAAUGCUUAGAGAUCAUGCAGAACACCGAUUGCGAAGGCAGCUUACCAGUCUAUAUCUGACGUUGAGGCACGAAAGCGUGGGGAGCGAACAGGAUUAGAUACCCCAGUAGUC